rnacentral:tRNA from 1 species
AGUUUUGUAGUUGAAAUACAACAAUGGUUUUUCAUGCUGUAGGUUAUGGUUAAAAUCCAUGCUAAAAUA